rnacentral:misc_RNA from 1 species
GAUUUUUUCAGGACUUCCUCUUGAAUGCGUGGAUCAGUAUCAUCAUAAGCUCGUACAAGCAGUGGCAGGACACAGGAUAUUAAGUGCUCCUGACUUGUCUUGUUAAUAAUAAGUUCAGCACGCUUUACAAGAAGCAGAAGUGUCUCGCCUGUAGCGGUAUUCAGGACAGGAAUAAGAGCUGGAAAUGUCGAUAGCCCAAAAU